rnacentral:rRNA from 1 species
AGAGUUUGAUCCUGGCUCAGAAUGAACGCUGGCGGCGUGCCUAACACAUGCAAGUCGGAUGUGCAGCAAUGCGCAUGGCAGACGGGUGAGUAACGCGUGGGGAACCUACCUCUUUGUGGGGAAUAACGCUCCGAAAGGAGUGGUAAUACCGCAUGAGACCAUGAUCUGGGACGGUCAUGGUGAAACCUGGGGACCGAAAG